UACAGGGGGUGCAAACGUUGCUCGGAAUCAUUGGGCGUAAAGCGCACGUAGGCGGUUCGUUAUGUCGGAUGUGAAAGCCCUUGGCUUAACCGAGGAAGUGCAUCCGAAACUGGCGAGCUAGAGUACGAAAGAGGAUCGCGGAAUUCCCGGUGUAGAGGUGAAAUUCGUAGAUAUCGGGAGGAACACCGGUGGCGAAGGCGGCGAUCUGGGUCGAUACUGACGCUGAGGUGCGAAAACGUGGGGAGCAAACAGG
rnacentral:rRNA from 1 species